AAAACUAGCAAUAUCGACAUUCAGACAGCGGAUUCAUCGAUUUCCUGAAUCAUAUUAGUUUUAAUUUCUUUCGUUUCAAAAAUUGUCAAUCCGAUUUUUGUCGUACUUAUAAAUACGUAAUAAUUUACAAAGACGUCGAAACAAAAUAUAUUUUUUUAGAUUCCGAGCGUAACGUGAGAGCUAUUGGUUUUGCAAUGCUAUUUAUUUAUUUUUUUUUCUUUGUUCUAGACUGUGGACACAUUUUUUUCCUAGUAAAUUUGCUCCAAUUUUACGUGUACUUUUCUGACAGCUCAAGUUGUCUAGAUUUUCCUUUAAGCGGAUCAUUUUUUUGAAUUUCGACGCCAUUUUUUAAAUAAAAGCAUAUAAGUGGGAAAAAACGUAGGAAAACGUACAAUUUCACGAUUUCAUUAUUUUAAAAACACGGACGACGUUUUCUACAGGAAAAAAUGAUUUAAUC